GAUGAAGAACGCAGCGAAAUGCGAUACGUAAUGUGAAUUGCAGAAUUCAGUGAAUCAUCGAGUCUUUGAACGCACAUUGCGCCCCCUGGUAUUCCGGGGGGCAUGCCUGUCCGAGCGUCAUUGCUGCCCUCAAGCACGGCUUGUGUGUUGGGCCUCCGUCUUCCUCCCGGGGGACGGGCCCGAAAGGCAGCGGCGGCACCGCGUCCGGUCCUCGAGCGUAUGGGGCUUCGUCACCCGCUCUUGUAGGCCCGGCCGGCGCUUGCCGACACAUCAAUCUUUUUUCCAGGUUGACCUCGGAUCAGGUAGGGAUACCCGCUGAACUUAAGCAUAUCAAUAAGCGGAGGA
rnacentral:misc_RNA from 1 species